GAUGAACGCUGGCGGCGUGCCUAACACAUGCAAGUCGAACGGAAACAGGAAACAGCUUGCUGUCUCGCUUACGCGGGGCGGACGGGAGUGACAUGUGUGGGAAAUAGCUAGAAGGAUGGGGUAAAUUACUGAAAACGGAAGUAAUUACGGCAUAACGUUUCAAGACCAAGGUGGGGGAGUUACAGGCGGCUUUGCUUCGGCUGAUCCAAGGAUCCACUAGGGAUUAGCUAGUUGGUCGGGUAACGGCUUACCAAGGCCACGAUUCGUAGCCGACCUGAGAGGGUGACCGGCCACACUGGAACUGAGACACGGUCCAGACUCCUACGGGAGGCAGCAGUAGGGAAUAUUGCGCAAUGGGCGAAAGCCUGAUGGAGCCAUGCCGCGUGUAUGAUGAAGGCCUUCGGGUUGUAAAGUACUUUCAGCAGGGAGGAAGAGAGUAGAAAGUAAACCUGUGCUCAUUGACGUUACCCGCAGAGGAAGCACCGGCUAACUCCGUG
rnacentral:rRNA from 1 species